rnacentral:lncRNA from 1 species
GACAAAUAAGGGAAUAUAUGCUGGCCACCUCAGCCAGGGAUGGCAACCCGCUGGGGUCUCCUUCCGCUGUGUGGAAGGGUUGUUUUUCUGCUCUUCGCAAUAAAUCUUGCUGCUGCUCAUUCUUUGGGUCGCCGCCGCCUUUUAUGAGUUGUAGCACUCACCGCGAAGGUCUGCAGCUUCACUCCUGAAGCCAGCUAGAGCCAGCGAGACCACGAACCCACUGGGAGGGAUGAACAACUCCGGACUCGCCACCUUUAUGAACUGUUAACACUCACAGCGAAGGUCUGCAGCUUCACUCCUGAAGCCAGCGAGACCACAAACCCACUAGGAGGAAUGCACAACUCCUGAUGCCCUGCCUUUAAAAGCUGUAACGGUCACUGCGAAGGUCUGCGGCUUCAUUCCUGAAGUCAGCGAAACCACGAACCCACCUGAAGGAAGAAACUCCGGACACAUCCGAACAUCAGAAGGAACAAACUCUGGACACACCAUCUUUAACUGUAACACUCACCACGAGGGUCCGCAGCUUCAUUCUUAAAGUCAGCGAGACCAAGAACCCACCAAUUCCGGACACGCAAGUAUUCGUAACGUUCUUCUGUUCCAAGAAAAAUGGUCUUCUUACUUCCUUGAUGGCUCACAACAUGCUCCUUUCUACUGCAGGAACACUGUAUAACUUCUGUCAAGCAUGAACUCCCCACCUCUGUUUGACAUACUUCUCUACUUUCAGAACUCAGCUGAACUAUCGCUUCUCAAGGGAGCACUCAAACUUCCUGAACAGAGUAAGAGAUUUG